CCAGACUCCUACGGGAGGCAGCAGUGAGGAAUAUUGGUCAAUGGCCGAGAGGCUGAACCAGCCAAGUCGCGUGAGGGAUGACGGCCCUACGGGUUGUAAACCUCUUUUGUCGGGGAGCAAAGAGAGUCACGUGUGGCUCAUUGAGAGUACCCGAAGAAGAAGCAUCGGCUAACUCCGUGCCAGCAGCCGCGGUAAUACGGAGGAUGCGAGCGUUAUCCGGAUUUAUUGGGUUUAAGGGUGCGCAGGCGGAGGUGCAAGUCAGUGGUCAAAUUGCGGGGCUCAACCCCGUACUGCCGUUGAAACUGGGGGCCUUGAGUGGGCGAGAAGAAGGCGGAAUGCGUGGUGUAGCGGUGAAAUGCAUAGAUAUCACGCAGAACCCCGAUUGCGAAGGCAGCUCACUGGACUGCAACUGACACUGAGGCUCGAAAGUGUGGGUAUCAAACAGGAUUAGAUACCCUCGUAGU
rnacentral:rRNA from 1 species